rnacentral:rRNA from 1 species
GAUGAACGCUGGCGGCGUGCCUAAUACAUGCAAGUCGAGCGAACGGACGAGAAGCUUGCUUCUCUGAUGUUAGCGGCGGACGGGUGAGUAACACGUGGAUAACCUACCUAUAAGACUGGGAUAACUUCGGGAAACCGGAGCUAAUACCGGAUGAUAUUUUGAACCGCAUGGUUCAAAAGUGAAAGACGGUCUUGCUGUCACUUAUAGAUGGAUCCGCGCUGCAUUAGCUAGUUGGUAAGGUAACGGCUUACCAAGGCAACGAUGCAUAGCCGACCUGAGAGGGGGGAGGGCCCACCGGGAACUAGAGACCCGGCCCAGCCCCCGCCGGGGGCAGGAAGUGGGAAUUCUCCCGAAAGGGGCGAAGGCCGGAGGGACAACCGCCGGGGGAUGAAUAAGGUUCUCGGAAUGUAAAAACUUUUUUAUGGGGGAAAACAAAUGGUGUAAGUACCUGUGCACAUCUGGAGGGUCCCUAAUCAGAAGCCCACGACAAACUCCGUC